rnacentral:rRNA from 1 species
GCCGGUGUCUACGGCUACGUCGACGGCACCCAGCCGGAGCCGGAGAAACUCCCCGUCACCACCAAGGACGGUAAGGAGGUCUCAUCAUCGCCCAACCCUCUCCACCCAAUCUGGGUCCGGGAGGAUCAGCAGGUUUUGGGGUACCUGCUAAAUAACCUGACGCAUGAGGUGCUGCUCACGGUGACCACGGUCACCACAGCGGGCGCGCUCUGGACGACGCUCGCUGGGAUGUUCUCGUCCCAAUCUGUCAGCCACAUCAACAACAUACGCACGUCCCUCAUCAACGCGUAGAAGGGGAACCUCUCCGUCGCCUCCUACUUCGCCGCCAUGCGCGGCUACGCCGAUGAGCUAGCUACCGCAGGCAAGGUGAUCCCCAACGACGAACUCUCCUCCUACAUCAUCCAUGGGCUCUACACCGACUAUCAGCCCCUGGUUUCUGCCCUCGACGCUCGCGUAACUAGGGAACCCUUGAUGAACUCUUUGCCAUGUUAUCCAACUUCGAUCAGCGCAUGA